AGAGUUUGAUCCUGGCUCAGGAUGAACGUUGGCGGCAUGCUUAACACAUGCAAGUCGAACGCAGGCUUCGGCCUGAGUGGCGAACGGGUGCGUAACACGUAGGUGACCUGGCCUGGAGUGGGGGAUAACCCUCGGAAACGGGGGCUAAUACCGCAUGGUCUGAAGGUGUCUUGAAAGCCUUCAGUAAAGCUCGAUGUGCUCUAGGGGGGGCCUGCGGCCUAUCAGGUAGUUGGUGGGGUAAAAGCCUACCAAGCCGAUGACGGGUAGCUGACCUGAGAGGGUGGUCAGCCACAGGGGAACUGAGACACGGUCCCCACUCCUACGGGAGGCAGCAGUGAGGAAUAUUGGGCAAUGGGGGCAACCCUGACCCAGCAAUGCCGCGUGCGGGAGGACGCCCUUCGGGGUGUAAACCGCUUUUGUGAGGGAGGAGCAAGGACCGUACCUCACGAAGAAGUCACGGCUAACUACGUGCCAGCAGCCGCGGUAAUACGUAGGUGGCGAACGUUAUCCGGAGUUACUGGGCGUAAAGGGUCCGCAGGCGGGUCUGCAAGUCCGGCGUGAAAUCUUCUGGCUUAACUAGAAGAGGUCGUUGGAAACUGCAGGUCUAGCAUCCCGCAGAGGUCGGUGGAAUUCCCGGUGUAGUGGUGGAAUGCGUAGAGAUCGGGAGGAACCUCGAAAGCGAAGGCAGCCGGCUGGGCGCGGAUGGACGCUGAGGGACGAAAGCGUGGGGAGCGAACAGGAUUAGAUACCCCCGUAGUCC
rnacentral:rRNA from 1 species